rnacentral:rRNA from 1 species
GACGAACGCUGGCGGCGUGCUUAACACAUGCAAGUCGAACGGAAAGGCCCUGCUUUUGUGGGGUGCUCGAGUGGCGAACGGGUGAGUAACACGUGAGUAACCUGCCCUUGACUUUGGGAUAACUUCAGGAAACUGGGGCUAAUACCGGAUAGUAGCUCCUGCUGCAUGGUGGGGGUUGGAAAGUUUCGGCGGUUGGGGAUGGACUCGCGGCUUAUCAGCUUGUUGGUGGGGUAGUGGCUUACCAAGGCUUUGACGGGUAGCCGGCCUGAGAGGGUGACCGGCCGCAUUGGGACUGAGAUACGGCCCAGACUCCGACGGGAGGCAGCAGUGGGGAAUAUUGCACAAUGGGCGGAAGCCUGAUGCAGCAACGCCGCGUGCGGGAUGACGGCCUUCGGGUUGUAAACCGCUUUCGCCUGUGACGAAGCGUGAGUGACGGUAAUGGGUAAAGAAGCACCGGCUAACUACGUG